AGCAACCGUGAAAGCACCACUCCAAUCGAUCCUUCUUCCAUUGUCCCUACUAAACCUCCUGAACUCAUCCUAGCUGAUCCUCCUGCACCUGCACCAAGUAGUGCAAACAACGUUCGUACACCAGACACAAACAAUAAGAAAGACAAUAUGCCAGCAAACUAUAUUAGCUCUUACACUCUAAGGAAUGCUGUGACAAGACGUGUGCAGGCAAGGGGCAACAAAAGAAGCGAAUGUGUACAAUCCGCAAGUGCAAGCGAGAAGCAAGGUAGAUCAACUUAAGAAGCUCUAUCAAAGUGUGUUUAAGGUUCCUUGUCGUCGUGAUAUCGUCGUCAGCCUAGCUAACCAUCGCCUGCAUCAAUGGAGGGGAUGGAGGGGUACACGAUGGCAAAAAAAACUUCCAAUAAUUUGCUAGUCCUGAGUAGUUUAUUAUCUAUGUUAUCACAAUCCAAGCUAGUACGAGGAUGCUGUGAUUGUGAGCUAUGUUAUCAAAUUAAUUUGUAUUUGGCCACUAUUUAUUUGGUGCAACCUAUUUGUUACAACUUAUGGUAUGGAUAUAGUUAAUAUAUGAGACAAGAGACAAAUAUUAUGGUUGUCAAUUUUGGUUCUGACGUUACUGAUGUAAAAUAUAAUUCUUUUGC